UCAUGGCUCCUCCGACUCUUGACUGACGGAGGGUUUUCACACGGCUUGACCUUGACAGAUAGAACCGGCCCGGCUCCGGCUGGUGAUACUACCAUGACGUACAGGUGAGCUCACCCGCUGCGACCUCUUCAGCUGAGCCCCAAUGCCGACCCGACUCUCAAAGUCCUCAGCUUCGCGGGGCUUUCCCGGGUGGAUUCGCCAACCGCCAUGUGCCCGAUGGCGCCGGUCCCGUCCUCGUCACAUGGAACAGCUGCUAAAAUAAUCUGCAGUUUCUUUUGGCAAAGCGUGUGAUGUUCAAGUGGGGAGCAGAAACGGAAUAGGCCGCCUGGAUCCCCCCUCUUUCCCGGCCACCAGACGGCCCCGCCCACAGAUCGAUUAGUCUUGUCCGGGCCCUCCCGAAAACUUCUGAUGAACUUAUUCUAUGGGAACAACAAAAGCUACUCUACAAAAAGGCACCGAAAAUGAGAUGUUUUGGUGGAUUUUGUGGGCGAGAGUUCAGAUGCUACGGAUUCAGCAGGGAAGAAUUGAUGAAGAGGAGGAUGGCAGACAUGCCUGGAGCUGAAAGCGAUGCUGCAGUCACGGCGAGCGCGACAAGCAAAUUGGCAAGCGGUUGGCAAACAGCGGGAGGCUAAUUAAGCUUUUCUUCCGUCGAGGCGAAAACGAGACGGAAUUCCGGGCCGGUGCUGGUACGUGUUCUUAUCAGCUAAGCUCGAGCCCCAAGUUGGCGGCUCGGGGUCCGCCGUCAGCCUGACGUCCGCGUGAGUCACGACGAUGUUGUCAUGCUGCUGCUGCUGCUGGAGGCGAUAAACAAGUUCUGCUUGAAUGACAUGGGGUGAGACGUCCGUGUCUCGCCCUCGCAUUCCCAGCUUUCGAGUGUCCAGGCCUUCCCAGGCGCUUGGUUGCCAGCAUGAGUCCUCGGCCAGGCUCUCCGCAUGCGAGGACAGAGCUUUGUUUGGUUCGCGUAUCUGUUCGUCCAGGCUCUGUGCAUGCAGGAAGGCCUCCGCGGCCAGGCUCCGGAGGAACGUAGAGAUUGGCCGUUUCUGCCGGGCCUGGCUCACCUGGUGUGCAAAUGACCGUCCAAUUUGACACCAUUUUAAAUA